UACAGUGUCAAUAGCCCUCCAUCUCGCUUUUUCCCUUCCCUCAUUUUUUCUUUUACCUCCCACUAUUUUUUUCCCUCCGUUGAUUUUGGGCCCUAAACUACGACGUUUUUGGGAGCCAAUUAAUUACAUUGAAUUCCACUUUCCCAUUUCAUUUUACAAUAGCCCUAACACCUUCAGCCGCUCUCUCUCCUUCCAUCAGAGCUCUGUUGCCCUUCUGUCACUAGUCUCGCCCUUCCAUCACCGAUCAUCACAGCUCUCUCUCCUUCUAUCACCGGUCAGUGUUCCAAAACUGGUGGCUUGGUUUAGAGGGAUAAAGUCAUUGCUACUACGCACACAGAGAGAGAAAGAGUCGUCCUUGGGGGUUUCCAAAACCUCGUCUACACUAACAGAUCGGACGAGAAUGUUUUUAGGUUAGUAACUGUUCGCCUUCUGAUUUUGAUUACCUGUGUAUUUUUUUUUUUUUAAUUUAAAUUAUGAAUUUACCAUAUUUGUCAACGUGCCUUAGCUUUGUUUGUGCAGAGUCGGAAGACGACUCUCUUCGCGAAAGCCCAAGCUCCUUGCCCCCGACCACUGGACAUCGUGAAAACCUUGGAUAGCUCUUUACCUCCUCCUUACAGCUUUUUGAAGUCUAAAUAAGCCUUUGUCCCGGUUUCCAUCGCAUUAGCAAUCAAGAAGGGGAUAACUCGUAUUUGAUUUGCUAAUAUUCUUUGAAGGUCGGUUUCCCCAAAUAUGAUUAAAGAAGCAGUUUUGACAAAUCUCUUGUUGAAAUAGAUGCACUGUUGCCAGGGAGCCAUCUUCUGGACCGAACCUCUCGAGGCAUUGUAUGUGUGGAGUUCGUGGCAUAAUGCUCAUAAUGGUAAUCGUGUCGACGGACCAGCUCAGAGUGGUACGAGAAGCUGCGUUGAUGUGAUGCAGUCACAAGGCCCCGCGGGCGCCCGCCAAAUGUGUCAACCCACUGCCUUAUUUCGCGGGGCCCCGCCACAGGUUCGCGGGCCCCCGCCGUUCCACCGCGGGCGCCCGCAGUUUAUGCCAGUAGCCCCCUCGCGCCAUGAAAGCCCGCGGGCCCCUGCCGAUCUGCAGAGAGCAGCCCACCUGCUCCUAUUUUUGUGCUGAACUUGUUCCCUCUGCAAUUUUUGUGUGGUUCUACUUCCUUGGAGUGGUUGGAGCUCGUGAUGGAGGGUGAGGAGAGGGGUUUUUGGCUAGAUAAGAGCCUUGAGGCAUUAUUAGUGAGAUAUCACACAUUUUAACUAAGUUUUAGAGAGAGAAAAGAGUGAUCUUGAGGGUUUUGGGUACUAGCUUGCUUGAGCACAAAAAUGGAGGGUGGAUUUGCUUCUUCUCCUUCAUUCCUUGUUCCUAUAGGUAACUAAAUCCUUCUCUAGGGAGGUGAUGAAGCCCUCCCUUAUAAGCAUGUUUUAGAUUAGCUUCUAUUUUGGGGAUAAUGAUGUGUAGUUUGGUCUUUUCAUAAUCUAGAGCAUAUUACUUGAUGUAAUGAA